rnacentral:rRNA from 1 species
GGAAUAUUGCGCAAUGGAGGAAACUCUGACGCAGUGACGCCGCGUAUAGGAUGAAGGUCUUCGGAUUGUAAACUAUUGUCGUUAGGGAAGAGAAAGGACAGUACCUAAGGAGGAAGCUCCGGCUAACUACGUGCCAGCAGCCGCGGUAAUACGUAGGGAGCAAGCGUUAUCCGGAUUUAUUGGGUGUAAAGGGUGCGUAGACGGGAAAUUAAGUUAGUUGUGAAAUCCCUCGGCUUAACUGAGGAACUGCAACUAAAACUGGUUUUCUUGAGUGCGGGAGAGGAAAGUGGAAUUCCUAGUGUAGCGGUGAAAUGCGUAGAUAUUAGGAGGAACACCAGUGGCGAAGGCGACUUUCUGGACCGUAACUGACGUUGAGGCACGAAAGUGUGGGGAGCAAACA